rnacentral:rRNA from 1 species
UUAAAUUGAAGAGUUUGAUCAUGGCUCAGAUUGAACGCUGGCGGCAGGCCUAACACAUGCAAGUCGAACGGUAGCACAGAGAGCUUGCUCUCGGGUGACGAGUGGCGGACGGGUGAGUAAUGUCUGGGAAACUGCCUGAUGGAGGGGGAUAACUACUGGAAACGGUGGCUAAUACCGCAUAACGUCGCAAGACCAAAGAGGGGGACCUUCGGGCCUCUUGCCAUCAGAUGUGCCCAGAUGGGAUUAGCUAGUUGGUGAGGUAACGGCUCACCAAGGCGACGAUCCCUAGCUGGUCUGAGAGGAUGACCAGCCACACUGGAACUGAGACACGGUCCAGACUCCUACGGGAGGCAGCAGUGGGGAAUAUUGCACAAUGGGCGCAAGCCUGAUGCAGCCAUGCCGCGUGUAUGAAGAAGGCCUUCGGGUUGUAAAGUACUUUCAGCGGGGAGGAAGGUGUUGUGGUUAAUAACCGCAGCAAUUGACGUUACCCGCAGAAGAAGCACCGGCUAACUCCGUGCCAGCAGCCGCGGUAAUACGGAGGGUGCAAGCGUUAAUCGGAAUUACUGGGCGUAAAGCGCACGCAGGCGGUCUGUCAAGUCGGAUGUGAAAUCCCCGGGCUCAACCUGGGAACUGCAUUCGAAACUGGCAGGCUUGAGUCUUGUAGAGGGGGGUAGAAUUCCAGGUGUAGCGGUGAAAUGCGUAGAGAUCUGGAGGAAUACCGGUGGCGAAGGCGGCCCCCUGGACAAAGACUGACGCUCAGGUGCGAAAGCGUGGGGAGCAAACAGGAUUAGAUACCCUGGUAGUCCACGCCGUAAACGAUGUCUACUUGGAGGUUGUGCCCUUGAGGCGUGGCUUCCGGAGCUAACGCGUUAAGUAGACCGCCUGGGGAGUACGGCCGCAAGGUUAAAACUCAAAUGAAUUGACGGGGGCCCGCACAAGCGGUGGAGCAUGUGGUUUAAUUCGAUGCAACGCGAAGAACCUUACCUGGUCUUGACAUCCACAGAAGAAUCCAGAGAUGGAUUUGUGCCUUCGGGAACUGUGAGACAGGUGCUGCAUGGCUGUCGUCAGCUCGUGUUGUGAAAUGUUGGGUUAAGUCCCGCAACGAGCGCAACCCUUAUCCUUUGUUGCCAGCGGUUAGGCCGGGAACUCAAAGGAGACUGCCAGUGAUAAACUGGAGGAAGGUGGGGAUGACGUCAAGUCAUCAUGGCCCUUACGACCAGGGCUACACACGUGCUACAAUGGCGCAUACAAAGAGAAGCGACCUCGCGAGAGCAAGCGGACCUCAUAAAGUGCGUCGUAGUCCGGAUUGGAGUCUGCAACUCGACUCCAUGAAGUCGGAAUCGCUAGUAAUCGUGGAUCAGAAUGCCACGGUGAAUACGUUCCCGGGCCUUGUACACACCGCCCGUCACACCAUGGGAGUGGGUUGCAAAAGAAGUAGGUAGCUUAACCUUCGGGAGGGCGCUUACCACUUUGUGAUUCAUGACUGGGGUGAAGUCGUAACAAGGUAACCGUAGGGGAACCUGCGGUUGGAUCACCUCCUUACCUUAAAGAA